CUUGGUCUGAUAGUUGUUGCGCGGCUGGUCUUACGUUGUUAUUUUAGAGUGAACGAUGAUUGUGGUCCUUUUUUCCUUGUUUGGUCGUAGAAUGGUCCCUUUGUGUAUUAAAUUCAAUUCUUUUGUUAAAUGUAAUUGCAUUCAUUAUAAUUGGAUUCAACAUAUCUUCUUGCAAAACCCAAAUAAUAACCAAGUGUGUAACCAUGAAAUAAAUUUAUUAAAGAUGUGUUGAGUGCAAUGCCAUUGCAUCCAUCCAUUAUAUACAACAGAAAUUCAGGCAAAGCUAAAUUUGUCUAGAUAAGUAACAUGAUUUUUAAGGCGAAAUAGUGGGGGUAAACACCCACUGCAAUAUUUUAUAUUAUUGGGAAGUGUAUGUACACACUGGUUUGAGAUUAGCCUGAAAAGAAGAUAAAUGAAGAAAACAAACCCUAACAGACUGAGCCAAAAAAAGAAGAAACACAAAUUACAAGACUUCAGCUCGUGAAGCUUUGAAAGCAUUGCCAUAUUUCGUUUUCAUCUUGUGUCCAGAAAUUACAAGAGUUCAGCUCGCCAAGCCCUUGUUCAUCCUGUUACCAUGAAGUUAACAUCAUCAGCUCGGGACCCCUUAUCCGAGAUCCGCCAGAUUUAACCCCGACACGGGCUACGUGGCUUAGCUCUCCAGCGAGCGACGUGGUGGCGGGUGUUGACGGUUUACCUUGGCCCUGUGGGUGGCGAGGUGCACGGUGAUGGGUGAUCUUGGCGUAGCAGACGACUUCGAUGGAAGCUUUGCCCUGAUCUGGAUUUGGUGCUCCCAUUCCGUCGUGGUGGGGUCCCCGUUAGAGCUUCUUCGAUGUGGAGGGAGCUGUGGUCGAACGAAAGCUUUGCGCUCUGGCGCCGGCGGCAACAAGGCAUGCGGGUGUUGUAUUCCUCUUGGGCAUCGCCUUGGACCUCUCCUUGGCGUCCAACUCUCAGGGUGAAACCAUUCUUAGCUUCGGCUGAUGUGGCGGCGGUGACGCUUUGUGUCAUUACCCUCCUGGGGGCGUCGCCGGUGAGGGUGGGUCUUCCUCUUGCACGGUGGUGGGUUUCAUGUGCUUCUUCUCGGCUGCUAGCUCGAGGCGUUUAGGUGCACUUAGUGUGUUUUUAGCGUUCUUGGCUAGUAUUACCGAUUUUCGUUAGAUCAGCUUAUGAGGUUCUUCUCAAUGCCUUGUAUCGGGUCAUUUUGUAUCGGCUUGGUUGUUUAUGCCUUUAUCUAUAAAGGGAGCGAAAGCUUAUUUCGAGAGAGAGAACGAUUCGUGAACCAACUGUCCUUGAUGGCCUAUUACAAUGGCGCGCACGGUGACCGAUCUUGACCAAAUUCAGUCGACCAACACCUAUUACUACCCUUCUUGUAUUUGUUAUCCUGCCUUCUAUAUAAUAAAGCUAUGGUACGUAAUUUGUGUACACUUGAGAAUAGAUGAUUACGUUUUAUUUUGCAAUUUUUACAGUGACAUACAUCUUAAUAAAUCAAUUAUCGUGCGGUACGAAUAUGCACGUGCGCACCAAUACAUUCAUAACGUUAAUCAAAUAUUAGGUUCAAAUAAUUAAUGUUUAGCAUGCUCGGGCACCGGAUCGAUAGCAGCCUGAGGGUUUGCCGCCAGACCCAAUCUACUCUCGGCUACGAAUUCCAUCGCACCAUUAUUAGAUUAUCAUAGUAGAAUAGGUGAGCCAAGCAUGCACGCACCAACAUGUAUUUAAAUUCAUCUGGGAGUACUACUACUCAUAUUCAUGCGUCUUACCUGAUGAUCCUAGUUUGAACGAAUCCAUCGCCUAUAUAUUUUGACAUAGUGGCAUCAAUGAUCUUACGGCACAUUCCAUCGUGUAGCCAUUUCUCUGUGCAACUUCCUUGGAUGCUAUCAAAUUUCUGUCUAGUGCUAACUUCUAGCUCCGAUCUUUUCAGUUAGCUAGUCGGUAGACAUUUAAUCAAUGGGGCUAAAGUUCUUAUCCUGAUCAUUGUGCCGUGGCCAUGCUCGGGGUGGUGCUCGGCACCGGUCAUGGGCGCGCCGGCCGGAUCAUGGGACGUGCAGACCAACUACACCCUGUGGCCUUCGAGAACUAGGUACCAUCGGCGAUGAGCUCCAGUUUCAGUACUCCACCACCGUGCACAAUGUGGUGAAGGUGAGAAAGGCUGGGUACGACACCUGCAAUAGCUCCAGCCCAUCACGAUGUUCCUGACCGGCAUUGAUGUCGUCCCACUUGCGGCCAUAGGGACGCGGUACUUCAUUUGCGGCGUUCCAGGGCAUUGCAUUGCCGAUAUGAAGUUUCAAGUCAACGUGAAAUCGAAGGCAGUGCGGACAGUACAACGGUGCCAAGGGACGGGGAAGCGGCUCCGGUGCCGGUAUAAGACUGUAUUAAGCUCGGCCACGACGGCUGGCAUUGACCAGUCUGCGGUGGCGCGGCUAGGUCUAGCCAUUGUCGCGGUUGGUCUCGUGUUGUUCUUUUAGUGACCGACGGUUGUGGUGCUUUUUUCUUCUUGACCAGCCGUGCAUGCUUAUUUGUGUAUUGUAAAUCAGUUCUUUUGUUAAAUGUAAUUUUUCCAUUAUAAUUGGAUUUAACAUAUCUUCUUGCAAAAUCGAACUAGGACAAGGUCUACGGAUGGCUACUGAUGAUUUCCUAACUAAUUGUUUGGACAUGGUCUACUGACGAUUUCGUUACUUUGUCCUCAGACUCGGUCUACUGAAGGCUACCGAUCUCAUCUUCUCCAUUGUUAGUUUUCUACUCUCUCUCCAUUUUUGUAUACAAGGCCACAAACACAUAUUACAGGUACCAAGGUAAAAAUCAAUGCUAUGUUUAAGUCAAUGUUGCAAAGCUAGCUUGUCAUCUUGUUUGUCGUGUUAAUUAAUGUGGCUUUUCUCUCUCACGCACAACAAGCCAACCCUCUUACUCCUCAUUUGUUGAUUAAUGUUGAAAAUGCAAGCUAACCUUCUCACUCCCGCAUGCACACAAGAGAUAUUAAUGUCCUCGGGUGCUAGUACUCCCUCCUUUUUGAUUUAUAGCGCUCAAUUCAAAAAUCUCACCAACCAAGGUAGAUGAUGAAUGGUGGAAUACUUUUUGUAGUUUGCAAAAGCACCUAAUUAAUGCACUUGUUUUCCUCAAAAAAUUAUGUUUAUCAGUGCAUAAAUUGCAAUGCAUGCAUGCAUAAAGUACAUGCAUUGGUCAAAUUUCUCUUAACACUUGCAUGCAAUGAUUUAAUGCACCUUGGAAUCUGAACAUGUGAUGGAAAACAACCAAAUUGAGCCUUAUAAAAUGGAAAAACUAAAAUUUUGAGAUAAGCCCUAUAAACCGAAAAGGAGGAAGUACGAGGCAAACGUCAUCAAUUUUGCCUCGAUUAAUGUUAGGGGCCUUGUAUAAUUGCAAAUUGUAAUUUUGAUAGUGGCCUUGUAAACAAAAAUAGAGGGAGUAUUAAAGCUAUAUGGAGUCAAGCAUAUAUAAUAACUAGAUGAUGCCCCGCAUGUUGUUGCGGGAAUAUUUUGCAGUAUUUUAGUGAGAUUUUGGUUACAUGAAACAUGAAUAUUUGAAAUAAUAGUUUUUAAAACUAUAUAUGAAUUAAAUUUAAUAUCAUAAUAGAAUGGAAUUUUACAUGCAUGCAUAUUUGCAUGUUGAAGUGGAUUUUUAAUAUGCAUAGUUGCAUGUUGGGUGGGCCUUUUCUAUGCAUGUUGAAUGAUGAGGUGGUAUGCUUGCAUGUUGAGAGAAAUAUGUUAGUGGAGGCUAGCUAUUUAGAUAUAGAAGAUAUCAGUUUCAGGAGCUAACGUGUAUGAUGUCAUUUUCAUGUAUUUUUGAGGACCUACUCUAUGUCACCUGGUCAACGCGCUUACACCCGAUGAUCCUUAACACAUCCAUCGAUGUCAAACGACACACUAGUAUCAAUGAUCUCACAACACCAUCCAUCCUGCAGCCAUUUCACUCUUUAGCUUCCUUGGAGCUUGUGAUCAUUAGUUGACCAGACAACAUAACCAAUUUUCUGUCUAGCGCAAACUUCCACCCCCAACAUAUUUUCAGUUACUACAAAGUCAGCUAGCUAGUAGAUCCAUAUUUAAUCCAUGGGGACCAAAGCUCUUAUUCUGAUCACCGUGACCGUGACCAUCCUUGGGACGGCGCUCGGCGCCAGCCACACAGUGGGCGCGCCGGACGGGUCGUGGGACCUUCAGACCAACUACUCCUAGUGGGUUUCGAGAAUCAGGUUCACCCCUGGCGAUGAGCUCAAGUUCCAGUACUUCGCCACCGUGCACAACGUGGUGGAGGUGAGCAAGACGGGGUAUGACUCCUGUAGUGGCUCCAACCCCGUAGCGAUUUUCCCGACCGGUAACGAUGUUGUUCCGCUUGCCAUCGUUGGGACCCAGUAUUUCAUCUACGGCGUCUCCGGGCACUGCGACGUCGGCAUGAAGGUCGAGGUAAACGUCAAGUUGAAAGUAGUGCGGACUGUGCAGCGGUGCCGACGGAAAGGGAACCGACGUCGCUGCCAGUGACAGUAUGAAGCUCAGCUGCGGCCACUGGGGUUGAUCAGUCUACGGUAGCCCGGCUCGGUCCGAUAGUUGUUGCGGCUUGUUUUUGAAGGAAAUAUGCCCUAAAGGCAAUAAUAAAGUUGUUAUUUAUAUUUCCUUAUAUCAUGAUAAAUGUUUAUUAUUCAUACUAGAAUUGCAUUAACCGGAAACUUAGUACAUGUGUGAAUACAUAGACAAACAGAGUGUCCCUAGUAUGCCUCUACUAGACUAGCUCGUUAAUCAAAGAUGGUUAAGUUUCCUGACCAUAGACAUGUGUUGUCAUUUGAUGAACGGGAUCACAUCAUUAGAGAAUGAUGUGAUGGACAAGACCCAUCCGUUAGCUUAGCAUAAUGACCAUUUAUUUUUAUUGAUAUUGCUUUCUUCAUGACUUAUACAUGUUCCUCUGACUAUGAGAUUAUGCAACUCCCGAAUACCGGAGGAACACCUUGUGUGCUAUCAAACGUCACAACGUAACUGGGUGAUUAUAAAGAUGUUCUAUAGGUGUCUCCGAUGGUGUUUGUUAAGUUGGUAUAGAUCGAGAUUAGGAUUUGUCACUCCGUGUAUUAGAGAGGUAUCUCUGGGCCCUCUCGGUAAUGCACAUCACUAUGAUCCUUGCAAGCAAUGUGACUAAUGAGUUAGUUACGGGAUGAUGAAUUACGGAACGAGUAAAGAGACUUGCCGGUGACGAGAUUGAACUAGGUAUGAUGAUACCGGCGAUCGAAUCUCGGGCAAGUAACAUACCGAUGACAAAGGGAACAACGCAUGUUGUUAUGUAGUUUGACCGAUAAGGAUCUUCAUAGAAUAUGUAGGAGCCAAUAUGAGCAUCCAGGUUCCGCUAUUGACCGGAGAUGUGUCUCGGUCAUUGAGGGAGUCCUGGGUUAGGGGUGUCCGGAUGGCCGGACUAUACCUUCAGUCGGACUCCUGGACUAUGAAGAUACAAGAUUGAAGACUUCGUCCCGUGUCCGGAAGGGACUUUCCUUGGCGUGGAAGGGAAGCUUGGCGAUACGGAUAUAUAGAUCUCCUACCAUUGUAACCGACUUUGUGUAACCCCAACCCUCUCCGGUGUCUAUAUAAACCGGAAGGUUUUAGUUCGUAGGACAACAUAGACAACAACAAUCAUACCAUAGGGUAGCUUCUAGGGUUUAGCCUCUCCGAUCUCGUGGUAGAUCUACUCUUGUACUACCUGUAUGAUCAAUAUUAAUCAAGCAGGACGUAGGGUUUUACCUCCAUCGAGAGGGCCCGAACCUGGGUAAAACUUCGUGUCCCUUGCCUCCUGUUACCAUCCGGCCUAGACGCACAGUUCGGGACCCCCUACCCGAGAUCCGCCGGUUUUGACACCGACAUUAGUGCUUUCAUUGAGAGUUCCUCUGUGUCGUCGCCGUCAGGCUUGAUGGCUCCUACGAUCAUCGAUAGCCAUGCGAUCCAGGGUGAAACUUGUCUCCCCGGACAGAUCUCUGUCUUCGGCGGCUUUGCACUGCGGGCCAAUUCACUUGGCCAUCUGGAGCAGAUCGAAAGCUAUGCCCCUGGCCGUCAGGUCAGAUUUGGAAGUUUAAACUACAUGGCUGACAUCCGCGGGGACUUGAUCUUCGACGGAUUCGAGCCACUGCCGAGCGCGCCGCACUGCCACGACAAGCAUGAUCUAGCUCUGCCGUCUAACAGUGCCCUGAAGGCCGCACCCGCAUCGGCUUUGACCCUUAAUUCGGAGCCAACCGCGCCGAUCGAGGAUGGGUGGUUGGACGCCGCCUCGGGGGCUGCGAUCCUAAUGGCGAUCGAGCCGAACACCAGCCCCGCACUCCGCGAGACUCAUGAUUCCAAGGAGCCGGACUCCUCUCCGGACUCCGAACCAUUCGCGCCUCUGCCGAUCGAAUCCGAUUGGGCGCCGAUCAUGGAGUUUACUGCCGCAGACAUCUUUCAGCACUCGCCCUUUGGCGAUAUUAUAAAAUCACUAAAGUCUCUCUCUUUAUCAGGAGAGCUCUGGCCGGACUACGAUCAGCGAGAUUGGGAUGCGGACGAUGAAGAAAUUCAAAGUCCACCCACCACCCACUUUGUAGCCACUAUCGACGAUUUAACCGACAUGCUCGACUUCGACUCCGAAGACAUCAACGGUAUGGACGCCGAUGAAGGAGAAGAUGAAGAACCAGUGCCUAUUGGACCCUGGAACGCCACCUCGUCAUAUGACGUAUACAUGGUGGACGCACCAAAAGAUGACGACAAGGAGCGGAAGGACGCACCGAAGGCUUGUUCCCUCGAAAAGCAGUCAAAGCGGCGACGCAAGCGCCGCCCCAAAUCCCGCCUCGACAGAAAUAGAGAUCACACAGACCCAGCGCUGGAGCAGGGCAAACCGCUGCCGGACAAUGGCAAUCCGGGUAAUCAAACCGAACAAACAAAUCCUAUCAAGGAUAAUGGUCCGGACGACAUAACGCCGGACAGACACCCGGAGCAGCAAACUACCCAUAAAAGGCUUGUUGCCACCGCGAGGAGUCUGAAAAAGCAAAAGCAAAGGCUCAAGGCCGCGCAAGAUACACUCCAAAUCAGAUGGAGUAAAAUACUUAACACUGCAGCAAGGUACGGCGACAAUCGCCCCUCCAAGAGCUACCCAAAGCAAAAGCUGCUAUCCGAAUUCGAUGAGGAGGCCUCAGAACCCCCACAACCAAAUAUCAAAGCAGCCACCUGGUCGGAUAGACGACCCCUCUACCAACACAGAGCGGCAUACAACGCCGCUCACAAUACAAUACGCGACCCAUGCGAGGGCUCGCACCCAAAGGACGGCGCAACAAGAUCCAUCUAUGGACCACGCAAGCGCGCCCCAGCAUACAAUGCAACACAACAAACAUCCGAGCAAUGUGGUACGCCCAGCUACAGGGGUGCUGCACACCCCCUAUGUUUCACCGAUGAGGUGCUGGACCACGAAUUUCCAGAGGGAUUCAAGCCCGUAAACAUAGAGGCAUAUGACGGAACAACAGACCCUGGGGUCUGGAUUGAGGACUACAUCCUUCAUAUCCAUAUGGCUCGAGGAGAUGAUCUCCAUGCCAUCAAGUACUUACCCCUCAAGCUCAAAGGGCCAGCUCGUCACUGGCUCAAAGGCCUCCCCAAAAGCUCCAUUGGAAGUUGGGAAGAGCUCGAAGACGCCUUUGGGGCAAAUUUUCAAGGGACUUAUGUCCGGCCUCCGGAUGCGGACGAUUUGAGUCAUAUAACUCAACAGCCCGGAGAGUCAGCCCGAAAGCUUUGGAACAGGUUUCUUACUAAAAAGAACCAGAUUGUCGACUGUCCGGACGCCGAAGCCUUGGCAGCUUUCAAGCAUAGCGUCUGUGACGAAUGGCUCGCCAAACACCUCGGCCAAAAUAAGCCGAGAACGAUGGCCACAUUAACAAACCUCAUGACCCGCUUUUGCACGGGUGAGGACAGCUGGCUAGCCAGGUGCAGCACCAGCGACCCCAGUACAUCUGAAGUUAGAGAUGGAAACGGGAAAUCACGGCGCAACAGCAAUAACAAACGCCGGAAUAAAGAAGACAGCACGAAGGGCACGACAGUAAAUGUCGGAUUCAAAAGCUCUCGGCCAGGUCAAAAGCCGCCCCCUAAAGGCACCGGGGAUGAACUGUCCAGCCUCAACAAAAUUCUGGACCAAGUAUGUCAGAUCCAUAGUACCCCUGGUAAACCUGCUAAUCAUACCCAUAGAGAAUGUUGGGUCUUCAAGCAGUUCAGCAAGCUCAACGCCGUACACAAGGGGGAGGAUACACCAAGUGAAGACGAGGACGAGCCCCCCAAGCAAGACACGGGGGAACAAAAGAAAUUUCCACCAGAAGUCAAAACAGUAAACGUGUUACACGUGAUCAAGGGAAAAAACAACGCGGCACUCCCAGGAAAAUAUACCCAAGUGCCUGUCACCGCGAAGUCCUGCCACUGGUCGUCUCAACCGAUCACUUUCGACCAUCGCGAUUACUCAGCAAGUAUCCGACACGCAGGAUGGGCUUCCCUGGUAUUAGACCCGGUAAUUGGCGGAUAUCACUUCACACGAGUCUUGAUGGACGGCGGCAGUAGCCUAAACCUAAUAUAUCAGGAUACAAUCCGCGGGAUGGGGUUAGACCCAACACAAAUUCGCCAUAGCAAUACUACCUUCAAAGGAGUAACGCCAGGCCCAGGGGCUUGUUGUACGGGCUCCCUCCUACUACAAGUUAUAUUCGGCUCCCCCGAUAACUUCCGCCGCGAGCAUUUAACUUUCCACAUCGCUCCGUUUCAAAGUGGCUAUCAAGCACUGCUCGUACACGAAGCUUUCGCUCGCUUCAAUGCAAUACCACACUAUGCCUCCCUCACACUCAAGAUGCCCGGUACACAUGGCAUCAUUACAGUGCACGGAAAUAUCAAGCGAUCUCUGCGCGCCGAAGAGAGUGAGGCUGCCUCGGCAGCCGCACACUAAAGAGCCCAGACCAGAAAGCGUCCAAUAGGCCGUCAAGACCUCAGACACAACUAAUCGAGUCCGGCACUGCUACUCAUACCGAAUAAACGGUCACACCCCUAUUUGUCAAUACAAGGGGCUCAACACGCGCAGACAAGUGGCAAUUUCUUCUCAUCUUGAAUUAUACAUGGUUUCUUUAACAAACUAUCUUUUUGCACGACAACUUUUUCACCUAAAUUCCUCUCUUUUACAGACGAUCAUCGUGUUACACCCGUCCAGGAUACGGCACAACGGAGACACAGGCGCAGACGUGCAGCAGGGACCCGUUCCAAGGAUUCUUUUCAGAUUAAGACCCUGCGUAAACCUUUUUUACUGUCUCUUGUUGAUACAUAUCCACCAUUGAGAAGGAUGCUGACGUCUUGGCAUGUGGCCACGCCAGAACAAUGCACGUACCUGGACACAAGGGGCUUCUUACAAAGGCCAUUAUUUAGGCCCGGUUUAUACCACAAAGACCGAAUACCUUAGGGAGUGUUCGGCGUCGCGAGUUUGGCCCUAUAUGCAUCAGCUCCGAAUCAUUGUCUUUGGUCAAAUGUUGGGUUUGCCCGGCUCCUGUGUUUUGGUGCCUUACGUUCCGCUUUACCGGCUAAGGUAGCACUAGGAGAACUACUGCGAUUGUGCCCUGGUUCAUCCGGACGAGCACCUCAGUAGAGAAAGCCGAAAACUGACUGUCAUGAUAUAGCGUGAGACUGGUCAACCACUCGAUGACCUGUGAGAAUGAUAGAAUUCCUCCGCCUUAACAAAGGACCGUUUUCUAGCCAGGCAUGUACGCACCCCGAGAUCGGGAGAGUGCGGAGCCACCAGGGGCUAUCUAGUAGCCCCAGUGUCAAACUCCUAUGGCUAAGUGAAAGUGCUAAAGCAUUAUAGUCUGGUUGCCUCGCUCGCUCCGCUAUCACCUUCUUAAUAGGACCAAGACGUUGGGUUAAGUGUGAAUGCGUGUUUUUGCAAGCACCUCCGCAUUAUAUGCGUGAGGGUUGAAGCCGACGGCUGCAAUCUUUCAGGUUAUACACGUGUAUAUAUAAACGGCCGCCCAGGAGGCAUCAUAUUACUUUCAGGCAAAAGUAUAAAAAUAGCCUUAUAAAAAUUUAUAAAAGCAUUUCGCUUACAAUGAGAUUACAUAUCACUCAAACAUAAUAUUUUUUGAGCACUGGGUCUCUAUUAAACGAGCACCCUCGAGAACUUCUUCAAAGUAGUGCUCAGCAGCCCUUCGACCUAUGGCCGAAUCCCGCGCUGCAACAGUGGUAGCAUCCAUCUCCGCCCAGUAUGCUUUAACACGGGCAAAGGCCAUCCGUGCGCCCUCUAUGCACGCCGACCUCUUCAUCGCAUUAAUGCGCGGCACCACGUCAAGGAACUGUUGCACCAAGCUGAAAUAGCUGUUCGGUUUUGACCUUUCUGGCCAUAGCUGGUCCACAACAGACCUCAUGGAAAGUCCGGACAACCUAUUUAGUUCAGCCCAUUCGGCUAAUUGGUCAGUCAAUGAAAGCGGACGCUCGGGAGAAUGGAAUUGUCUCCAAAAUAGCUGGUCUACUUCACGGUCCGUCUGACCCUGGAAAUAUUUGGCCGCAUCGGCAGCGCUCGCCGCCAAAUCCAUAUAUACAUCCUCCGAACUCCACAACCGAUCCAGAGGGGCAUAUCGUGGAUCUCCGAACUUCCUCCGCAACAUAAAGGAUUUCCCAGCUACAAUAUCCCCGUCUUCCCGCAGCUCCUCCUUCUUUGCCCUCAUAGCAGAGCGGAGGUCCUUUUUCGUCGUAGCAGCCUUCUCAAGGUCCGAUGCCCUCGCUUGGUUUUCCUUUUCAAGAACCCGGCAACGGUCGGCGGUGGCUUUUAAUUCUAUGGCCAUCUUGGCCAUCUUGUCUCGGCUCUCGCCAUGCACGGCCUUCUCGGCUUGCAACUCUUCAGCCGCCUUCAAAGCAGCUGUGUUACCCAACCUUGCUUGUUUCUUGGCUCGGGCAAGUUCUGCCCGCAAGGCUUCAACAGUGGCAGCACCAUCUACAGUCACAACAUAUUAAAGAUACUGGCAUCAUGUUGCUAUUCCUAUGUGGCCUUUACCAGAUAAUGACACUUACCCUGUGCCUCGUCAAGCCUUUUGUUAACAAGCUCGAUGUCGGCGUCUGCCGCAUCCAACUACCGUUCUAAAUGGGCAAAUUUGCUAGUCCGGCUAGCCACUGGAGCUUCCAUCACCUGCACAUAGAGGCAGUAUGGUUAUUACCUGGGAAUAUGAUCCUCUGUUCUCCGUCGUUUCCGAUGACAACCAGAGUCUCAGGGGCUACUAUCUACACAGGGCACACCUAGCAUGUGCAGGACUAUCAUACAUUCUUUUACGUACCUCAAAGUCUGUUAGUAGACUCAUAAAAGCUUCAUGCAAUCCGCUUUUGGCGGACGAUAUUCUCUCCAUCACCGUAUUCAUCAGCACAUGGUGUUCAUCUGAGAUGGCCGCUCGCCCCACCAACUCCCUCAGAACAUCUGAUCGCACACUAUACGGUGCCGGACUCUUUUCUCUGCUCUCUUCGAGAGCCGGACACUGGGAGCUUCGAGGGUCAAUGGGAUUAUCUUCCGGUCUCACCGGACUCUGAGAGGCCCUCCACGACGACACUUCAGGGUCGCCCGCUUCCGGAGCGAAGGAGUCCGGAGGAGGCGUUUCACUCUCCAUCAUCUCUGGAAGAAGAUCCCUCGAAGACGAGCUCAUUUGAGAGGGGCUAAGGCCCGAACUGCAAAAAUAUAUGCGGUGGUUAUUUUCUCAGAAGAAAAAGAGGGCAUAUAUGUACUAUUAAAGUAUUUUGGGAAACUUAUGACUCGUGGGAGAAGUGAUCCUCCCGCGGACUUUGUGCGGCAACAGCGCCCCCCAAGGUAGGACCCUCUGUGGGAGACUUCUUCUCCCGUUUGGAAGCUUCGGCUUCCGAAUCCCCGGGCGCGGUCCUUUUACUCUUCUGGUCGUCUUCCUUCAUGGAGACGCUCGCUCCCUCGGCUAGAAUGGGCAGUGUUGGGGGCCCGCGUCCGCCCGCAUUAUCCUCCAUAGUAUCUUCCUUCAAGGGCUCCGGCAAGGUGCGGUCUGGAGCGUCUUUUCCAAUACCGUAUUUUCCAAACCCUCAUGGAGGGGGGCCGAACACCGAAUCAACUUCGCCUUUGUUAGCCAGUCCUGGUCAAAAAACGAACUCUCAGAAAUAACUUCGUAAUAAAGGAGAGAUAGUAUGUUCGGCCGGAAGAUGCCUUACCUGUUCAGCGGCGCGGUUACUACUCAGGCCCACGUCCUCGGUGAUUUCCGGACACUCCACCCGAGGUUCGAAGAAUGACUUGUACAUCUCCUCGUGCGCCAGGCCGAGAAAAUUUUGAAUAGCACGCGGUCCCUCGGGAUUGAACUCCCACAGGCGAAGAGGCCGGCGUUUGCAAGGCUAGACUUGACGAACCAGCAUAACCUGUAUUACCGCAACCAAACUGAAAUCUCCAUUGAAGAGAUCUCGAAUGCGGCUUUGCAGUAUAGGUACGUCCUUGGCUGGGCCCCAGCUCAGACCUCUGCUGAUCCAUGACAUCAGCUGUGGUGGAGGGCCCGAGCGGAAAACCAGGGGGCCGCCCACUUGGCACUUCUAGGAGCCGUAAUGUAGAACCACUCCUGUUGCCACAAUUCAGACACCUCUGGGAUGGAACCGUUGGGCCACGGAGCUCCCGUCAUCUUGCGUAUUGAGGCACCUCCACACGCUGCAUGUUGCCCCUCGAUCAUCUUCGGCUUCACUUCAAAGGUCUUGAGCCAUAGGCCAAAGUGAGGGGUGACCCAGAGGAAGGCCUCGCACACGACAAUAAAUGUCGUGAUAUGAAUAAAGGAGUCCGGAGCUAGAUCAUGGAAGUCUAGCCCGUAGUAAAACAUCAAACCCCUGACGAAAGGAUCCAGAGCAAGGCCUAGACCUCAGAGGAAGUGGGAGACGAACACGACGUUCUCGUUGGGUUCGAGGGUGGGCACGGCCUGCCCUCGGGGAGGCAGCCGAUGCAAAAUCUCGGCGGUCAGAUAUCUGGCCUCCCUCAACUUUUUGAUGUCUUCUUCCGUGACGGAGGAAGGCACCCAUCGGCCUUGAGGGCUAGAUCCGGACAUGACUGAAGGUUCGGAGCACCUGAGCUGAACUUUGGGCGCUUGAGCUUGAGGUGGGGGAAGGAUUCGAUUGAGCACGGGAGGGAAAAAUAAAAGCCUUGUCCCUUUAUAAAGAGGGUGAAUAUCAAGCGUCCUCUCCGUGUACGUUUGGACUUGCCUAUAAUCUAGGAGUCCUAGAAGUGGUUGGGUUACCCACGCCCGUAUUGAUGAGAAUCCCGGAAUAAGGGUACACGAUCUCUACUUUAACAAGACGUGCCAAGGAAACCGCCUCGCAUGACGCGCUGAGGUGGGAUAAUGAAGCGACUCGGAUAAAGGCUUGACCGUGGUGUGUCACACUACGGAAUACGUUAGCAGAUUAGAUUUGUGUAAAUGUUAUUCUCUCUAUGGCAAUAUGUGGAAACUUAUUUUGCAGAGCCGGACACUAUUUUUGUGUUCGAAAUCUUCUAUGAAGUACUUGGAGGAGGAACCCGCCUUGCAAUGCCGAAGACAAUUUGCGCGCCGGACUCGUCGUCAUUGAAGCCAGGUUCAGGGGCUACUGAGGGAGUCCUGGGUUAGGGGGUGUCCGGAUGGCCGGACUAUACCUUCAGCCGGACUCCUGGACUAUGAAGAUACAAGAUUGAAGACUUCAUCCCGUGUCCGGAAGGGACUUUCCUUGGCGUGGAAGGCAAGCUUGGCGAUACGGAUAUACAGAUCUCCUACCAUUGUAACCAACUUUGUGUAACCCUAACCCUCUCUGGUGUCUAUAUAAACCGGAGGGUUUUAGUUCGUAGGACAACAUAGACAACAACAAUCAUACCAUAGGCUAGCUCCUAGGGUUUAGCCUCUCCGAUCUCGUGGUAGAUCUACUCUUGUACUACCCGUAUGAUCAAUAUUAAUCAAGCAGGACGUAGGGUUUUACCUCCAUCGAGAGGGCCCGAACCUGGGUAAAACUUCAUGUCCCUUGCCUCAUGUUACCAUCCGGCCUAGACGCACAGUUCGGGACCCCCUACCCGAGAUCCACUGGUUUUGACACCGACAGUCAUGUCUACAUAGUUCUCAAACCCGUAGGGUCCGCACACUUAACGUUCGAUGACGAUUUGUAUUAUGAGUUAUGUGAUUUGAUGAUCGAAGUUUGUUCGGAGUCCCGGAUGAGAUCACGGACAUGAUGAGGAGUCUCGAAAUGGUCGAGGGGUAAAGAUUCAUAUAUUGGAAGGCUAUAUUCGGACAUCGGAAAGAUUCCGAGUGAUUCAGGUAUUUUUUAGAGUACCGGGGAGUUACGGAAAUUCACCGGGAGAAGUAAUGGGCCUUAUUGGGCCAUAUGGGAAAAGAGGAGGCAGGCCAAGGGGAGGUGGCGCGGCACCCCCCCCAUGAGUCCUAAUUGGACUAGGGGAAGGGGGCGGCACCCCCCUUGCCUUUUCCUACUCCCUCUCUCUUCCCCUCUUUCCUUCUCUCCUACUCCGAAAAGGUAAGGGAUUCUUAUUAGGACUUGGAAGUCCUAGUAGGACUCCAUACUCUUGGUGCGCCCCUAGGGGGCAAGCCUCUCUCCCUCCCUCCUUUAUAUACGUGGGCAGGGGGAACCCCAAAGACACAACAAGUCUUCUCUUAGCCGUGUGCGAUGCCCCCUCCACAGUUACACACCUCGGUCAUAUUGUCGUAGUGCUUAGGCGAAGCCCUGCGCCAGAAACUUCAUCAUCACCGUCGCCACACCAUCGUGCGGACGGAACUCUCCUUCGUCCUCAAUUGGAUCAAGAGUUCGAGGGACGUCAUCGAGCUGAACGUGUGCUGAACACGAAGGUGCCGUACAUUUCGUGCUAGAAUCGGUUGGAUCGUGAAGACGUUUGAUUACAUCAACCGCGUUACUAAACACUUCCACUUUCGGGCUACGAGGGUACGUGGACACACUCUCUCGUCUCGUUGCUAUGCAUCUCCUAGAUAGAUCUUGCGUGAUCGUAGGUAAUUUUUUUGAAAUACUGCAUUCCCCAAUAGUGGCAUCCGAGCUAGGUCUAUGCGUAGAUGUUAUAUGCACGAGUAGAACACAAUGAGUUGUGGGCGAUAAUAGUCAUACUGCUUACCAUCAACGUCUUACUUUGAUUCGGCGGUACUGUUGGAUGAAGCGGCCCGGGCCGACAUUACAUGACCACAUUCGUGAGACUGGUUCUACUGACGUGCUUUGCACACAUGUGCCUGGCGGGUGUCUGUUUCUCCAACUUUAGUUGAAUCGAGUUUGACUACGCCCGGUCCUUGUUGAAGGUUAAAACAACACACUUGAUGAAAAAUCAUUGUGGUUUUGAUGCGUAGGUAAGAACGGUUCUUGCUAGAAGCCCGUAGCAGCCAUGUAAAACUUGCAACAGCAAAGUAGAGGCCGUCUAACUUGUUUUUGUAGAGCAUGUUGUGAUGUGAGAUGGUCAAGACGUGAUGAGAUAUAAAUUGUUGUAUGAGAUGAUCAUGUUUUGUAAAAUUUAUUGGCAACUAGCAGGAGCCUUAUGGUUGUUGCUUUAUUGUAUGAAAUACAAUCGCCAUGUAAUUUCUUUACUUUAUCACUAAGUGGUAGCGAUAGUCGUAGAAGCAAUAGUUGGCGAGACGACAACGACGCUACGAUGGAGAUCAAGGUGUCAAGCCGGUGACGAUGGAGAUCAUGACGGUGUUUUGGAUAUAGAGAUCAAAGGCACAAGAUGAUGAUGGCCAUAUCAUGUCACAUAUUUUGAUUGCAUGUGAUGUUUAUCCUUUGUGCAUCUUAUUUUGCUUAGUACGGCGGUAGCAUUAUAACAUGAUCCCUCACUAAAUUUCAAGGUAUAAGUGUUCUCCUUGAGUAUGCACCGUUGCUACAGUUCGUCGUGCCGAGACACCACAUGAUGAUCGGGUGUGAUAAGCUCUAUGUUCACAUACAACGGGUGCAAGCCAGUUUUGCACAUGCAGAAUACUCGGGUUAAACUUGACGAGCCUAGCAUAUGUAGAUAUGGCCUCAGAACACUAAGACCAAAAGGUCGAACGUGAAUCAUAUAGUAGAUAUGAUCAACAUAGAGAUGUUCACCAUUGAAAACUACUACAUCUCACGUGAUGACCGGACAUGGUUUAGUUGAUAUGGAUCACGUGAUCAUUUAGAUGACUCGAGGGAUGUCUAUCUAAGUGGGAGUUCUUAAGUAAUAUGAUUAAUUGAACUUAAAUUUAUCAUGAACUUAGUCCUGAUAGUAUUUCCAUAUCUAUGUUGUAGAUCAAUAGCUCACAUAUAGCUCCCCUAUUUUAUUUUUGAUAUGUUCCUAGAGAAAAACUAAGUUGAAAGAUGAUAGUAGCAAUGAUGCGGACUGGAUCCGUGAUCUGAGGAUUAUCCUCGUUGCUGCACAGAAGAAUUAUGUCCUUGAUGCACCGCUAUGUGACAGACAUAUUGCAGAAGCAGAUGCAGACGUUAUGAAUGUUUGAUAAGCUCGGUAUGAUGACUACUUGAUAGUUUAGUGAACCAUACUUUACGGCUUAGAACCGGGACUUCAAAAACAUUUUUGAACACCAUGGAGCAUAUGAGAUGUUCCAAGAUUUGAAAUUGGUAUUUCAGACUCAUGCCCAUGUCGAGAGGUAUGAGACCUCUGACAAGUACUUUGUCUACAAGAUGGAGGAGAAUAGCUCAACUAGUGAGCAUGUGCUCAGAAUGUCUGGGUACUACAAUCGCUUGAAUCAAGUGGGGGUUAAUCUUCCAGAUAAGAUAGUGAUUGACAUAGUUCUCUAGUCACUAUCACCAAGUUACAAGAACUUCGUGGUGAACUAUAAUAUGCAAGGGAUGAAAAAACAUUUCCCGAGCUUUUCGCAAUGCUAAAGGCUGUCGAGGUAGAAAUCAAAAAGGAGCAUCAAGUGUUGGUGGUUAACAAGACUACUAGUUUCAAGAAAAAUGACAAAGUGAAGAAGGGGAACUUCAAGAAGAAUAGCAAGCAAGUUGCCACUCCCAUGAAGAAACCUAAAGCUAGACCUAAGCCUGAAACUGAGUGCUUCUACUGCAAAGAGAAUGGUCACUGGAAGCGGAACUACCCCAAAAACUUGGCGGAUAAGAAGGAUGGCAAAGUGAAAGGUACAUUUGAUAUACAUGUUAUUGAUGUAUACUUUACUAGUGUUCAUAGUAACCCCAGGGUAUUUGAUACCAGUUCAGUUGCUAAGAUUAGUAACUCAAAACUGGAGUUGCAAAAUGGACAGAGACUAGUUAAGGGUGAGGUGACGAUGUGUGUUGGAAAUGAUUCCAAGGUUGAUAAGAUCACCAUCGCACACUCCUUUUACCUUCGGGAUUAGUGUUGAACCUAAAAUAAAUGUUAUUUGGUGUUUUGCGUUGAGCAUGAAUAUGAUUGGAUCAUGUUUAUUGCAAUACGCUUAUUCAUUUAAGUCAAAGAAUAAUUGUUGUUCUGUUUACAUGAAUAAAACCUUCUAUGGUCAUACACUUAAUAUAAAUGGUUUAUUGAAUCUUGAUCGUAGUGAUAAACAUAUUCAUAAUAUUGAUGCCAAAAGAUACAAAGUUGAUAAUGAUAGUGCAACAUACUUGUGGUACUGCCAUUUAGGUCAUAUUGGUGUAAAGCGCAUGAAGAAACUUCAUGCGAUGGACUUUUGGAAUCACUUGAUGCUUGCAAACCAUGCCUCAUGGGCAAGAUGACUAAGACUCCGUUCUCCGGAACAAUGGAGCGAGCCACUGACUUAUUGGAAACAAUACAUACUGAUGUAUGCGGUCCGAUGAGUGUUGAGGCUCGCGGCGGGUAUCAUUAUUUUCUAACCUUCAUAGAUGAUUUGAGCAGAUAUGGGUAUAUCUACUUAAUGAAACAUAAGUCUGAAACAUUUGAAAAAGUUCAAAGAAUUUUCAGAGUGAAGUGGAAAAUCAUUGUAACAAGAAAAUAAAGUUUCUACGAUCUGAUUGUGGAGGCGAAUAAUUGAGUUACGAGUUUGGUCUUCAUUUGAAACAAUAUGGAAUAGUUUCAUAACUCACGCCACCUGGAACACCACAUCAUAAUGGUGUGUUCGAACGUCGUAGCCAUACUUUAUUAGAUAUGGUAUGAUCUACGAUGUCUCUUACCGAUUUACCACUAUCGUUUUGGGGUUAUGCAUUAGAGACAGCUGCAUUCACGUUAAAUAGGGCACCAUCUAAAUCCGUUGAGACGACACCGUAUGAACUAUGGUUUGGCAAGAAACAUAAACUGUCGUUUCUUAAAGUUUGUGGCUGCGAUGCUUAUGUGAAAAAGCUUCAACCUGAUAAGCUCGAACCCAAAUCGGAGAAAUGCAUCUUCAUAGGAUACCCAAAGAAAUUUUUGGGUACACCUUCUAUCACAGAUCCGAAGGCAAGAUAUUGAUUUCUAAGAAUGGAUCCUUUCUAGAGAAGGAGUUUCUCUCGAAAUAAGUGAGUGGGAGGAAAGUAGAACUUGAUGAGGUAGUUGUACCUUCUCUCGAAUUGGAAAAUGGUUCAUCACAGAAAUCAGUUCCAGUGAUGCCUGCACCAAUUAGUGAGGAAGUUAAUGAUGAUGAUCAUGAAACUUCACAUCAAGUUACUACCGAACCUCGUAGGUCAAUCAGAGUACGACCCGCACCAGAGUGGUACGGUAAUCCUGUUCUGGAAGUCAUGUUACUAGACCAUGAUAAACCUACGAACUAUGAGGAAGCGAUGAUGAGCCUAGAUUCCGCGAAAUGGCUUGAGGCCAUGAUAUCUGAGACGAGAUCCAUGUAUGACAACAAAGUGUGGACUUUGGUGGACUUGCCCGAUGAUCGGCAAGCCAUUGAGAAUAAAUGGAUCUUCAAGAGGAAGACGGACGCUGAUAGUAGUGUUACUAUCUACAAAGCUCGACUUGUCGAAAAGGGUUUUCGACAAGUUUAAGGUGUUGACUACAAUGAGAUUUUCUCACUGGUAUCGAUGCUUAAAGUUUGUCCAAAUCAUGUUAGCAAUUGCCACAUUUCAUGAAAUCUGACAAAUGGAUGUCAAAACUGCAUUCCUUAAUGGAUUUAUUAAAGAAGAGUUGUAUAUGAUACAACCAGAAGGUUUUGUCAAUCCUAAAGGUGCUAACAAAAUGUGCAAGCUCCAGCGAUCCAUAUAUGGACUAGUGCAAGCAUCUCGGAGUUGGAAUAUACGCUUUGAUGAGUUUAUCAAAGAAUAUAGUUCUACACAGACUUGCAGUGAAGCCUGUAUUUACAAGAAAGUGAGUGGGAGCACUACAGCCUUUCUCAUAAGUAUAUGUGAAUGACAUAUUGUUGAUCGGAAAUGACGUAGAAUUUUCUAGAAGUCAUAAAGGAGUAUUUGAAAGGAGUUUUGCAAAGAAAGACCUCGGUGAAGCUUCUUACAUAUUGGGCAUCAAGAUCUAUAGAGAUAGAUCAAGACGCUUAAUAAGAUUUUUCAAUGAGUACAUACCUUAACAAGAUUUUGACGUAGUUCAAAAUGGAACAGUCAAAGAAGGAUUUCUUCCCUGUAUUGCAAGGUGUAAAGUUGAGUAAGACUCAAAACACGACCACGGCAGAAAAUAGAAAGAGAAUAAAAGUCAUUCCCUAUGCCUCAACCAUAGGUUCUAUAAAGUAUGCUAUGUUGCGUACCAAACCUAUUGUGUACCUUGCCAUGAGUUUGGCAAGGGGGUACGAUAUUGAUCCAGGAGUGGAUCACUUGACAACGGUCAAAAUUAUCCUUAGUGGAGUACGCUAAGAUAUUUUUCGGUUAUGGAGGUGAUAAAAAAGUUCGUCGUAAAGAGUUACGUCGAUGCAAGCUUUUACACCGAUCCGGAUGACUCUGAGUCUCAAUCUGAAUACAUAUUGAAAGUGGGAGCAAUUAACUAAAGUAGCUCUAUGCAGAGCAUUGUAGACAUAGAAAAUUUGCAAAAUACAUACGACUCUGAAUGUGACAGACCCAUUGACUAAGCUUCUCUCACAAGCAAAACAUGAUAACACCUUAGUACUCUUUGGGUGUUAAUCACAUAGAGAUGUGAACUAGAUUAUUGACUCUAGUAAAACCCUUUCGGUAUUAGUCACAUGACGAUGUGAAUUAAUCACAUAAAGAUGUGAACUAUUGGUGUUAAAUCACAUGAUGAUGUGAACUAGAUUAUUGACUCUAGUACAAGUGGGAGACUGAAGGAAAUAUGCCCUAGAGGCAACAAUAAAGUUGUUAUUUAUAUUUCCUUAUAUCAUGAUAAAUGUUUAUUAUUCAUGCUAGAAUUGUAUUAACCGGAAUCUUAGUACAUAUGUGAAUACAUAGACAAACAGAGUGUCCCUAGUAUGCCUCUACUAGACUAGCUCGUUAGUCAAAGAUGGUUAGGUUUCCUAGCCAUAGACAUGUGUUGUCAUUUGAUGAACAGGAUCACAUCAUUAGAGAAUGAUGUGAUGGACAAGACCCAUCUGUUAGCUUAGCAUAAUGAUCGUUUAGUUUUAUUGCAAUUGCUUUCUUCAUGACUUAUACAUGUUCCUCUGACUACGAGAUUAUGCAACUCCCAAAUACCGGAGGAACACCUUGUGUGCUAUCAAACGUCACAAUGUAACUGGGUGAUUAUAAAGAUGCUAUAUAGGUGUCUCCGAUGGUGUUUGUUGAGUUGGCAUAGAUCAAGAUUAGGAUUUGUCACUCCGUGUAUCAGAGAGGUAUCUAUGGGCCCUCUCGGUAAUGCACAUCACUAUGAGCCUUGCAAGCAAUGUGACUAAUGAGUUAGUUACGGGAUGAUGCAUUACAGAACGACUAAAGAGACUUGUCAGUGAUGAGAUUGAACUAGCUAUGAUGAUACCGACGAUUGAAUCUCGGGCAAGUAACAUACCGAUGACAAAGGGAACAACGUAUGUUGUUAUGCGAUUUGACCGAUAAAGAUCUUCAUAGAAUAUGUAGGAGCCAAUAUGAGCAUCCAGGUUCCGCUAUUGGUUAUUGACCGGAGAUGUGUCUCAGUCAUGUCUACAUAGUUCUCGAACCGUAGGGUCCGCACGCUUAACGUUCCAUGACGAUUUGUAUUAUGAGUUAUGUGAUUUGAUGACCGAAGUUUGUUCGGAGUCCCGAAUGAGAUCACGGACAUGACGAGGAGUCUCGAAAUGGUCAAGAGGUAAAGAUUCAUAUAUUGGAAGGCUAUAUUGCGACAUCGGAAAGGUUCCGAGUGAUUCGGGUAUUUUUCGGAGUAUCGGGGAGUUACGGGAAUUCACCGGGAGAAGUAAUGGGCCUUAUUGGGCCAUACGGAAAAAGAGGAGGCAGGCCAAGGGGAGAUGGCGCGCGCCCCGCCAUGGGUCCGAAUUGGACUAGGGGAAGGGAGCGGCGCCCCCCUUGCCUUUUCCUACUCCCUCUCUCUUUCCCUCUUUCCUUCUCUCCUACCCCGAAAUGGAAAGGGAUUCCUACUAGGACUUGGAAGUCCUAGCAGGACUUCAUACACUUGGCGCGCCCCUAGGGGGCCGGCCUCUGUCCCUUCCUCCUUUAUAUACGUGGGCAGUGGGCACCCCAAAGACACAACAAGUCUUCUCUUAGUCGUGUGCGGUGCCCCCCUCCAUAAUUACACACCUCGGUCAUAUCGUUGUAGUGCUUAGGCGAAGCCCUGCGCCGGUAACUUCAUCAUCACCGUCGCCAUGCCGUCGUGCUAACGGAACUCUCCUUCGUCCUCAACUGGAUCAAGAGUUCGAGGGACGUCAUCGAGCUGAACGUGUGCUGAACAUAGGGGUGCCGUACGUUCGGUGCUAGGAUCGGUUGGAUCGUGAAGAAGUUCGACUACAUCAACCGCGUUACUAAAUGCUUCCACUUUCGAUCUACGAGGGUACGUGGACAAACUCUCUCGUCUCGUUGCUAUGCAUCUUCUAGAUAGAUCUUGCGUGAUCGUAGGUAAUUUUUUUGAAAUAUUGCGUUCCCCAACAGUUUUACGUUGUUCUUUUAGAGUGAACGAUAAUUGUGGUCCUUUUUUUUUCCUUCAUAGGUCGUAGCAUGGUCCCUUUGUGUAUUAAAUUCAAUUAUUUUGUUAAAUGUAAUAGCAUUCAUUAUAAUUGGAUUCAACAUAUCUUCUUGCAAAAACCCAAAUAAUUACCAAGCGUGUAACCACGAAAUUAAUUUAUCAAAGUUGUGUUGACUGCAAUGACAUUACAUCCAUCCAUUAUAUACAACAGAAGUUUAGGCAGAGCUAAAUUCGUCUAGAUAAGUAACUUGAUUUUUAAUGCGAAAUUGUGGGGUAAACACCCACUGCCAAAUUUUAUAUUAUUGGGAGGUGUAUGUAUACACUAGUUUGAGAUGAGCCUACAAAGAAGAUAAAUGAAGAAAACAAACCCUA
rnacentral:lncRNA from 1 species